rnacentral:rRNA from 3 species
CAGGUAGGACUACCCGCUGAACUUAAGCA